UUUGCCUACGGGAGGCAGCAGUAGGGAAUCUUCCACAAUGGACGAAAGUCUGAUGGAGCAACGCUGCGUGAGUGAAGAAGGGUUUCGGCUCGUAAAGCUCUGUUGGUAGGGAAGAAAGAUAGAGGUAGUAACUGGCCUUUAUUUGACGGUAAUUACUUAGAAAGUCACGGCUAACUACGUGGCAGCAGCCGCGGUAAUUAGUAGGUGGGAAGCGUUGUCCGGGUUUAUUGG
rnacentral:rRNA from 1 species